GAUGAAGAACGCAGCGAAAUGCGAUACGUAAUGUGAAUUGCAGAAUUCAGUGAAUCAUCGAAUCUUUGAACGCACCUUGCGCUCCUUGGUAUUCCGAGGAGCAUGCCUGUUUGAGUGUCAUGAAAUUCUCAACCUUUUCAGCUUUCUUUGUUGAUCAGGCUUGGAUGUGGGAGUAUGCGGGCUUCUCAGAAGUCGGCUCUCCUGAAAUGCAUUAGCGGGACCUUUGUUGCCUGGCUUUGGUGUGAUAAUUAUCUACGCCAUUGUAGUCAAGCAGCUUAAAAUGAGGUUUCAGCUUCUAACCGUCUCCCCUGAGACAACUUUUUGACAAUUUGACCUCAAAUCAGGUAGGACUACCCGCUGAACUUAAGCAUAUCAAUAAGCGGAGGA
rnacentral:misc_RNA from 1 species